rnacentral:rRNA from 1 species
UACGGGGGGGCAAGCGUUGUUCGGAAUUACUGGGCGUAAAGGGCUCGUAGGCGGCCAACUAAGUCAGACGUGAAAUCCCUCGGCUUAACCGGGGAACUGCGUCUGAUACUGGAUGGCUUGAGUUUGGGAGAGGGAUGCGGAAUUCCAGGUGUAGCGGUGAAAUGCGUAGAUAUCUGGAGGAACACCGGUGGCGAAGGCGGCAUCCUGGACCAACACUGACGCUGAGUGAGCGAAAGCCAGGGGAGGCAAACGGG